AGUAAGCUUUCGAAAGAAGAAAAAAAACCUGUUUUAACACAAGAUGCAAGAGUUAUAAUCUGAUUUAUUGGUGCCACUGGUGAGAGCAGAAAGUAUGAUUACUUCUAAGCCUCUGCUAUCAGAUUGCUGAUGAUUGCAAAAUUUCCUUGCAUUUUUCUGAGAGAGUGGAGGAGUGCUUGUCUUUAUGGCCAAAUGAGCUUCCUCUCAUGUGUUUUCUUCUGCACUUGGAAUAAGUCAUCCACAGAGAAAUAAGUAGAUGCUGAGACAUGGAGAUUAAGAGCUGAAAGGUGGUAAGGAACACCUUCCUAUACCAUUUCUGAGUUGUAGCUGACCAUAUGAAGAUGAACAGUAUUUACGAAUAGGUGGAGUUGACGUCUUUGUACUUGGCAGGAAGGUUCACACAGUUAAUUAUAGCUGAGCAAUCACAUACAAAGCUGGUCCUUAUUGCCUCUAAGCUGCUUGCUACUUGCUCAACUCAUUUGUAAUUUUCAGUGCUGUGGCAUCCUUUGACUUCUGCAAAACCUUUAGUCUAUUGGUCAUAAGAAUUAUGACCAAUGGGAGACAUUGAAACUUCUGUAGGUAAUAGUCAAAUCAGCUUUCUGCGCCACCAAUAGUGGGUAAACGGUUGGCCUAUUAGACCUCCUAUGGGAUUUUUUUUCAAAUUCAAAACCUUUUCAUACAAAAAUGGUAACAGUCACAUCAAAUAACUUCAAUUUCAGCUCAGGUUUCUGUUCCUGGACAGUAUUUUGUCAUGUCCUUCAAAGGAAAGUACAAGACCGUUUAUAUCAAUUUGCUGUCUAAGGGACUUCGCUUUAUGGCUUCCUUAGUUAGAAGUUGCCAUAUAUACUGGUGCAUCAGGUUUUAAUAGGAUCCGGACAUUAAAAGAAAUCUGUCUAACUUACGAAGGGCUCAUUACCCAUAUUUCAGCACUUCAGAGAGGAGGACUUAUUUCUGUAUUUAUUUUGCUGUCAAUUUAGUUGAAUAAUGGCAUAACUUGUCAGGAUUUUAAAUAGGCAUUUUCCAGCAUUUUGAUGGGAAUUAAUCUGUCAAAUGUAGUAAAUAAAAAGAGAAAUGUAAAAAUUUCAAAAAGAUUAGCAGGAUAUUCAUAAAUUUGAAAACCAAACCAAACCUUAAAUUAUGCAGUUUACAAUUGUUCCCCCUCAGGAGUGGAUGUUGGAUAAAUUACAGUGCUGUAUGAUACUUUGAAAGUGUGUUUUAGGAUUUUCUUAAUUAAAGAAAAGAGAAGGGGAGAAAAUCUUACAACUUUUUUUGGAAGAGGAGAUAAGUUAUAAUUUCUUUCAGAUGCAGUCAACUAGCUAUAGUGACCCUUCUCUUUUUUUAGUUUUCUUGGAUUACUUUUCACACUCCUCCUAAUUAUUUCUGACAGCUUUUUUCUUGUGUCUCUGCACUUCAUUCCUGCUGUCAUUUCAAUCUUUGUUUCUGUUCACUGUCUUGUUUGGGUUUAUUUUUCCCUCUUGCUUUGUGUGUGGGUGAUACUUUCAUAUUCUCUGUUUUCACAUUUGACUUCCCUUCCCCUCAGAAUUUUAUUGGCUCAUACUUCAUUCUGAGGUUAGGGAAGGGAAAGGAAUAUAUGCCAGCUGCAGACUCAGGAAAUAUACUCAGCUCUGUGUUUGAAUCUAUAUUUUUUUUAUUAUUUCAGGGUUUUGAUCAUGCCAGUUGCUGAAGAAAUGUGUGUUUCAUGCAGCAGAUACUCCUAUAUACAGGGAUUGCUCCAUACUUAAAUGAAGAAAUUCAAUGAAAGAUUAUAUUCUGUGUGCUUACAGAGUAAUAGGAAGUAUUUUUCACCAGUGAGAACUUAGAAGUAAAAAAUUCCUCUUCAUAACUCAACUGAAUAUCAGCCUUCCAUCAUUAUAUUUUUGUGAAAGCCAGAUCCAUUAAUAAUUUCUUUCUAUUUACUCCAUUGCUGUAUAACUGAUGUAUUGUCAUUAUAUAAUCCAAAUAUUAUAAGGGAUUAAUCCUAAGGGUAUGUUUUAUAGGUAUGAAUUCCCUCAUCCCUUCAACAACCUACUGUAUCUUACACUAACAAACUGCUACUCAAGUACAUAUUCUUCCAAACAUAAGCUGAAGGGCAAUCUUUCCUGGUUUCAUAUGCCAAUCCAGCAUGCACCUUUACACAAUGUUUGUUGAGACUGUCAGACUGAAAUUUCUGAGAACAAGAUCUGGCUAGCACUGUGCAGGAGUGUUCUCUCAGUUUGUGCCCUACUCCCAGUAUCAGCUGGGAGUUCGUUACUCAUCUUUGCUCUGCGUAAAUAUUUUAGUCAUGUAAAAAAAUGAUAGGUUUUCUAAGGGUGACAAGUCCACUUCUAUAGCCUGUAAUGGUAGGAGAGGAUAGUCAUAAUUACUUAUGCAGUAUGUUUGACAGGACUUGGAUGAUGAGGUUUAGGAGAAGUCUAGUAUCUGCCACUCACGUUAAUUUUAUUUUCAAAUGGCACUGGCAAUAUUCUAUAUCAAAGACAGAAAUAGUUUGCAAAGGCAAAUCCAGCUGCAAGGAGUUAAGACGAAGUGUUAGAAAAUUGAUGAAAGAGGAAGGAAGCAAUAGGCUGUACAUUAAAAGAGAUUAUAAAGAGAAUCACCCAAAGUGUAUGUUGAUGUCCUUAUUCGAUUCCCGUAUUUUAUCACUGGUACGUCUGAAGAGUUUGAAAACUAGAUUUGUAGAUGGUAAUGACAUUGGGAGCACAGCAAAUCAUAAUGUAUGCAUCAUCUAGGUUCAGUGCAGGCAGAGACGGGGGAAAAAUGUUUCAAAAGAAGCAAAAUCAAGCCAGAUUAAAAAUCCCAACUACUGUACAUGACCAUCUUUUUUAGCAUUAAAAUGUGUGGUCAACUAGCAUAUUUGGCAAUCUGACAGUUUUUUAUUCCUGAACUGUUACUGCCAGAGCAGCAAGAUUGACCUUCCAAUCCUCCCCCUCCCAGUCAUGUCGUAGUUGGUAUAAAAAGUCCAAAUCAGGCUGCAUCAGAGCAUCUGGAGUUUAUUCUGUACCUUGCUCAUCUAGUUCAUUAUGACAGUAUAGACCUGAUGUUGUCAUAUAUCUCUUGCACUGAGUUGUGCAUACACAUCUGGAUACAAUUCAGUCUUCCGUGUAUUUGCACUUAUCUUCAGGUUUUAUUUAGUAGUGUGACAGAAUAAGGCUACAGGUAUGAUUUCUCUCUUUUAAUUGACUUUUCUUUUGUACAGGAACAGAAAAGAAGCCAGUGUUCAGUGCUAGAAAGGAGAUGUGGUUAUUAAGCCGAUAUGCCAAUACUCUGAGACUGCUGUUCAGGGAGAAGCUGUAACUAAUGACUACUUCCUUGUGAUCUUUAGGGUUGCUGCAAUGACUUAUUUGCACCUGCUUCAUUAAUCACCUCGACUAUCAUCUCGUGGCAUUCAGACAUAUUCCAGACAUACUACCACUGAAAUAAUACUCUGGAAUCUGAAGACUGCAGGCCAAGUUACCUUCAGUUCAUCUUAGAGGUGUUUGUCCUGAACUACUUUUUUAGCCUUUUGUGGUGGACAGAACUGCCUUCAAGUGUGGAACUUGGCUGCAAAGAUCAAUGACCAGUUUUUGACUGUUACUACAAACAAGCUAAAAAACACAAAUGGAAUUUGAGACAUUGUGGCUAUGCUGAAUUGUCCCAGGCAAGUUCAAACUACACAGGUAUUUGACAAUUAAACCUUCCCUUUCUUUCAGAUCAGGGCAGGUAGCAGACAAGACAACAUGACUGGCACAAUGUUGCAUUUGAAAACAUGACUGAAGCCUUUAAAAGGCAGUUCUGCCAAACAGAACAGGCAAAAUAUACUAGUUUCUGCAAUUUGUGCCUGAAUUGCCUUGCCUGUUUCUGAAGUAGUUUACAUAUUGCAAACGGCUGGAUUCAGAACUAACAUAAAUGAACACAAUGCUGAGCACUGCUGGAAUCAUCCAGUCAAAACCAAGUUGAACAUGAAGAGUUAGCCAAAGCACUCAUCCUUUCAACACCUUGGAAACAUUUUUAGAAUGUAUCUCAGACAAAUUAUGGCAAAAAACUGAAGAGAAUUUUUUUUUUUUUUAAUGAUGAAAGCUCAGACCUCCAAAAGUGAACUCCUGAUUCCCACUGGUUUCUGUGAGCCAGGAUUUCAGUCCUGUGUUGCAGCUGGAUACGUAUAUAUCUAUGCUGGUGAACUGGAGAUCACUGUCAUGGGAGUGUUCAGAAGAUUCAUAAACCAAGUCACUUCAAACUCUUUAAAACAUAACAGGGACAGCUCUGUAGGCAGAAUAAUUACUAGUCCUACAGUGGUGAGUGUUUUGGGGGUUUUUGUGUCUUGGAGAUACGUUGUAUACAGGAAUCUAAGUGCUGGAGUGAUUACAGUGUGCAACAUAGUAAAAUCAAAAUGCCGUGCUGUUAGAAUGGAAAAGGGACUUGUAGAAAGCAUCGAAAUUGUGCUGGUGAGGGAUACAAAACUCUUUGUCUCUACAGACAAAGGAUUGGGUUCUCUGACACUCAUUUUUCAGGUACUAAAUGCAAAUUUAUUUAGAAAGUAAGCUGGGGAGAUGCAUGGUUAUGGAUUCUUUUUACAUUUCUGUAAAACCUAAUUAAGCAAGACAUUUACUUAGAUAAAUAAUUACACAAAGCAGGCAAGGUGGUUUUUGUUUUAAUAUUUUUUACUAGACUCUGUUAACUUAUGACCUUUUGAAAAAGAAGUAUGUGAAGAAACAGGUCAUUACAUCGCUCCUUGCCAAAGUAAAGAGUACAGGAUUCUUGAGGCUACUGCUUGGCCUCUCUGAGAAUAGGUACGAGUUUAUCUCUAGCACUGACUGCAUCAUCCACAAAGCUUUACAUAUAGAACAAAUCAUAUGUUCAUCCUCUGUACAACUAACUGCUAAAUACUUCUAAAUAGAAUGAUUGUUCAGUCAACCAUCUUAGUUUUUUUCAUUUUCUUGAGUCACAACAGUCAUUAGCAUAAAGGGCAUUCUCUUAAAAUCCUUCAGGUACUAAUGGAAGUGUCUCUAAAUAAAGCUAAAAUCUGAAAAUAAGCAAUUCUUUACAGUGUAUUGUGUAUCUGAGUGGAAACUUUAAGUCUGGUUAAGGUCAUCUGUACUUCUUAGUUUCAAAGCUACUGUGGGACCUGAACUGUAAACUAAGGCUCCCUUUUCCAGAAAUGGAAGUCACUUUCUGGGGAUAAAACCCUCUAACAGCAAUGAAGACCUCACUGGAGCAGAAGGAGGCAACUCGUUCUUCCCUAUGUCUAUUGGACUGAGUUGGUUUUCCCUAGCAUUUGUAAGAACGUUGGACCGCAUGGGAAAGGUGCAAAGAAAUUAAGACAGGAAAGGAGACUGGAGAAGGUAAAAUAAGAAAUGGAAAAGAAUGAACUUACUAGUGACAAACAUAAUGCCAUUGAUCAGUACUCGCUUAUUGGAGAUGAAAAGUUUACAUUAUGGUCUGGUAUCAGGAAGGUCUCGAAUAGGUCACAGUGCGUUCAUACCACGUACACCAUGUCUCUGAGUUCAGUUUGCAAGCCCUGUGCCAACUCCAUCAUCUUGAAACCAGCACAUCCAUCUUCUUUCUAUACUCUACUGCCUUGACUGACAUUGGCCACUAUCUGGUGCUUCCCAGCAAAUAGGUGGUACUUCUAUACAACAGCUAGAAUCUUCCCCAGGGUAGUUGUGUUCUGCAGUCAUCGCCUGAAUCACCAGGUUUAAAAAUUAUUGAAGAAUGACCCAGAUAUGUACUGCCUGACAGUUACAGAUGAUGCCAGUAGGAUUGGUUUUGGAGUCAAGAUGGAAAAUGGGAUAAGAGUGUGGGAUCCAUUUGAACGUCAGCAUAUCAUUAUUGCAGGUUAUGAAGGCAUACGUCAUACUGUGAUCAGCAAAUUCCAGCUGCUGGAGGAAAGGGCAAAAGCAGUCCUACUUGCAGGUCUGUGAAACUGAAUAUUAUACUGGUAAUGCUUCCCCAAUUCUAUUUCUCAUCCUUCUCCAGUAAUAGAUGACAUGUAGUAUUAAACAUUUACAAGGUAAAAUUUCUAAGUGGGCAAUAAUGUAGAUAGAGAGUGUGCUGCAACUCUAGUAUGGUUUUGGUAUUCUCUUGGUUUUAUUUUUAUUUAAGAAAUGAUGGGUACUUUCUCCUUUGAAAUGGGAUAUUGAGGACUUAAACUUCGCUGUCUGAUGUGGUCAAAAGGAGCCUUAGAAUAAUUCUGUGCCUGCCCAGCAGCAGCUGACAGACUAGGGAGAGUGCAUCCCCCCUUCUGGUCCCUGCACUGGAGAGCAGGAAAGAUGAUCCCAGUUACCAAUCCUUCCCUGUCUCGGGCACCAGGCUAUUUUAAUGGCUCCAAUAAAGUGUUCCUCAGACAACAAUUAAAGGCAUUCUUCAAGGUCUGAAAAGCACGUAGUCCAGAGAGGACAGAGACAAAAAUAGUCAAAGAACAAGAAAGCAGAACCAAGGAAAUAACAGUACCAGAGAAUGUUCAUGCAAAAACCAGAAAUUUGGGGGAGUUUGUUGUCACUGUUUAACACAGGGUGCCUUUACUCUAGACUUUCAAUGUCCAUUUAUAUUCAUUUCCACCACCUAAAAUAAUAACUUAUUCAUUAAUAACCUCAAACAGCAAGAAAGCAGUAUCUCCAUAAAAGCCCAAAGGAGACAUGUAGCUUCCAUGGCACAAGUAUGAAUGCUGGGGCACCUGUGGGCAAAUGAGUUAAUUGCACAAUCUCUGUCCAUCUCCCUCGCCUCUCCAUUAAAAAAAAAAAACAAAAAACAAACCAAAACCAAAACCCAAACAAAUAAAAACAAAAACAAAAAAAAAUCCAAACAAAUACUGUUCCUUGACUGCCAGCAAAUGCAGCUACUGCAGUAAUUGCACAUAGUACCUGUCUGGGCUGCUGUCUCCCAGAUAACCUUGCUGUAUUCCUCACUGGAAGGUUACAGUUGCAAGUAAAUUGUAGUCUUUUCCCAGAAAGUAUGAAACAAAUUUAAACACCUAAAACUUGUCAGAUUUUUAAAUUCAUACUGCAUAUAAUCAUACAGCAUCCAGUUUGCCUCCCACAAAAAUCUCUGCCUCACUGGGACCAUGCAGGGGCAAAAUGAAGUUUGGGUUAGUAUCUAUAAGCCUACCGUUUCCUAGCCUGACUGGUGACCUAAAUAAAACUUUCAGUAUUAGGUUUUUCCAAGAUGUAAUUUAUACUAUGGCUGUCAGGAGUUAAGAUAGCAGUUGCCAUGGAGCUUUAAUCUUUUUUUAGGCUUUAGUCAAAGGAAGCUGGAAAUCUGUAUGCUGGGUAGAACCCCUCUCAACAGAAUUUUAUUUAAAUUGGGACAGGAUUUUAUCCUAAUUUCUCUACUGAAAGUUAUGCUCAAGGGUUCUAGAAUUCUUUUUAUUUUAUUCUGCUUCUCAGCAGGAGAUGAAAGUUUCUUUUUAGGCUUCUUAAAUCACACUACAUUCAACCACAGAAGUACCCAAAGUCACUUCCCCUCAUACUCCUCCAACUAUGAACUGUAACCUUCUACUAGUCUUAAUGUUCACAGCUAAUCAUUGUAGUGAAGUUCAUUCACCAGUUUUACUAUUUUCAGUGGAGGUACUCCGUAAGUGUGCAGAAGCAAAACUUUGGGGAGGAUUUAAUUUUCUGUGUGCCCACUAAGCGCUAAUCCCUACAUUGGAAAACAGGCCUUUGGAACAGGAGAAGUAAUUACAGUUUGAAUCCGUGUGUAUGCUGCUUAUAACUUCCUUGAUGUGUAUUUAAGAAAAAAAGAAGCGUGCAAUGCUUGAAGUGCAUCUCUGAGAACUACGAAAUUGGCCAUGCUAUAGUCAGCAAUGUUCUGCUAGAACAUAGUUGCAGCAGAACAGAGAUGCAGUCCCAUCUAACACUUGCAAUUAAAACAUUGCUGACUGACUUAAAACUGAACUUAUCCCAUCAGGUAAGCCAAAAGAAUGCAGAAAUAGGUGGGGAAAAAAUGCAGAAUUUGUCAAAAUAAGCUUUUAGAAAUCUUACCCUACCCCAACCAAAAAUUAGAAAGGUUUCAGAUGCAAUAUGAACUUGAUCUUAAGAGACUUGGAUUCAAAGGCAAAUUACAGCUUCAUUUAAUGAAAAAUUCACCAGAAUUUUCACAAAAUAGAACUGUGUACUGGCCAGCUCUAGUGGAAAUCCAUAAUCCUUGAGCUAUUCCAAAGAGUGCUGGGUAAUCAGAACAUUGGUGCAAAAGAGAGGAUUUCAAACUUCUUCAACUCUUUCAUGGUAUGUAUUAUAUAAGAGGCAUGAUAAUAAUAAAAAAUAAACAUCUUUUUCCUUCUGGAAUAUGUAAGUCUGAGGAACUUGGACAGUUGUACAGUAACAUCUGGUUUUACCACUGCCAGCAAAAUGUCUUACCUAACUAGCACUGGACAGAAAAGCAAUUCUUGUGGGUUUGAAUGCCAACCCUGCUCAUCAUCUUGAGAGAAUCAGAUGCAAAACCAACUGUCCUUUCCACUGAAAAAAAGACUCUUUUGGAGAAGUGCUCACUAGCAGCCAGGAAGAACCUGAAGAAACUAGACUGUCUGAUGAUCAAAGACACAAGGAGCAUCUCAGAUCUCUUAAAGACAGCUAUUCAGAGGUCUAAUUGUUUACUGUGCCCAAGAAAAGCUAUGCACUGUGAAUAGGAUUCAGAAAGCCAUCACAGUCAAGGAAACUGCUUAAAGUAGCUCAAAAGAACUUUUGAGAGGUGAGGUGAAUAAGAAGUGCAUAUCUUCAAGAACAGAUGCUUGGCUCUGAAUUGCAGGGAGAUACUAAUCUCGUUUCAAGGUUUUCAACCUUUCUUGAUUUAGGCUCCUAUAGGAAUCUCUUACAAAACAGCAAGCGCCACUGCUUUCCUAACUUCAUCUGACUGGCCUAGUGCAGACCUUCCCAACAUACAUCUCAGUGAAUUUGUCUGGUCUGUGUCAUUCCACAGGUCAAACCAUACUUGGCCUGCCUCAAGUCUCCUGCGCAGAGACUAGCCAGGGUUGCUAGUCCUGACAGAGGAAGUUAUGCUACUUCUAAGCUGUAGCAUGAGCAAGUUGCUUUUUCUUUGCCCACAAGACAUUUGUUUGCUGAGGCUCACUGAGUAGAUAGGCUGCCUUUCAGGAAUACAUCUGUCAUUUUGAGUAUAAAGCAGGCUUCAGCAAGCAAUAGCAAUAGUUACAAAGAUAGUAUUAGUUUUGAAAUAGGCAAUAGAAGAACUUCAGCUUUUGGCUGGGAUAGAGUUAAUUUUCUUCACAGUAGCCACUCUGGGGCUAUGUUUUGGACUUGUGCUGGAAAC